rnacentral:rRNA from 1 species
AAGUUAGCGGCGGACGGGUGAGUAACACGUGGGUAACCUGCCCAUAAGACUGGGAUAACUCCGGGAAACCGGGGCUAAUACCGGAUAACAUUUUGAACCGCAUGGUUCGAAAUUGAAAGGCGGCUUCGGCUGUCACUUAUGGAUGGACCCGCGUCGCAUUAGCUAGUUGGUGAGGUAACGGCUCACCAAGGCAACGAUGCGUAGCCGACCUGAGAGGGUGAUCGGCCACACUGGGACUGAGACACGGCCCAGACUCCUACGGGAGGCAGCAGUAGGGAAUCUUCCGCAAUGGACGAAAGUCUGACGGAGCAACGCCGCGUGAGUGAUGAAGGCUUUCGGGUCGUAAAACUCUGUUGUUAGGGAAGAACAAGUGCUAGUUGAAUAAGCUGGCACCUUGACGGUACCUAACCAGAAAGCCACGGCUAACUACGUGCCAGCAGCCGCGGUAAUACGUAGGUGGCAAGCGUUAUCCGGAAUUAUUGGGCGUAAAGCGCGCGCAGGUGGUUUCUUAAGUCUGAUGUGAAAGCCCACGGCUCAACCGUGGAGGGUCAUUGGAAACUGGGAGACUUGAGUGCAGAAGAGGAAAGUGGAAUUCCAUGUGUAGCGGUGAAAUGCGUAGAGAUAUGGAGGAACACCAGUGGCGAAGGCGACUUUCUGGUCUGUAACUGACACUGAGGCGCG